UUAUAUUGCGUAAUCGGGUAACUUUUGUGUACCCAUGGCCGCCGGAAAGAACCAGUUGCUAAGGCUUGCGGGUUCUCAUGAAACGUCUUCGUAAUCUUCUCGAUUGUUGAAUGCUCUACCUCUUAAGUCUAGGACGUCUUAAAGACUGUUUGUCCUCGUCCUGUGCCAGUGGAGAUGCCCCCCUUUACUUUAUACCAGCUGUUCACGUAAAGAAAACCGUCGAUAGAUACUGAUACAGCGAACAUCGAACCUGCUCGCUUUUUCUGUAGCUUGGGCUCGAGAAUGAUGGAUACAACGAACUUCAGGAAUUUCAUCGCUAGAUGACUGUCGUUCCCUCAGCGUUGAAAGAAACAAAAUUCAAAUGAAUGGUUACGGCUAUCGCAAAUACGAGACCACACAACCGAGUUCUUUUUAGCAGCAGCUCUGAGACAAUCAGGACUAAUGGAAUGAAGGGACAACUUUGUGACAGAUUAGCGACAAGUUUCAGCCUGACAUUUUCCUGCUGAGCGUGGAGGAUUUCACGUUGUUGGUCGCCGUAUCAGGAAGGUAACUAUUGUAGGGUUCUUUUAUUUUCCUGUGGAGAUUUUAAAGUUCGUUACCUCCAAUCUUCACACCGACGAAAGAGAAGAUUUCCUUUGCAAUUAGUUUUCUCUAAUUUAUGUGGAAAAUAGCAAUGUCGAACUGUUUCAUGUCUGCCAUCAUAUAUCGCGAGGCCUCCGAAUGUAAGUCUUCGAAAUAUUUGCGAACUGUUCAGAGUUGUAUAUUUAAACUUGAGCUUUCAUUAAAUAAGCUUUUCUAGCUACAGUUUUAUCCGUCUUAAUUUACUUAUGAAACACCUCAUUUACUUUAUGAUUUCCCGGUGAUAUGUUGAUUUUGAAGACUUUCUACGAGUGAUUUAAAUCAUGAAACUUAAGGCGGGAAUUACAGAUCACUUAACAAGAUUUGCAUGUUUAAAUAAUGCAGUGAUACAUGUAGUAAGGGUUUUAGAAACCUCCAUUCCUUACUGUUCAGUACCAGUUUUAAGUCCCAAAUUUGAAAGCAUUUUCCUGCUUGAGCUUCUGCAUGGGAAUGCACAGACUCAGUGUGAACUUUUACUACGUUGAGGUAUUUCAUUUACAAGCUAUUUACAAUUUCUUGGCCUGUGGAAAUAAAGAAGCAGCUUCUGCUCACAUGCUUUGGCAUAGCUUGUACUGGUGAUAAAAAUCAGUUUUAUUUGUGUGGUGGAAGAAAACUCUGUCAUAUUUCUGGAUAUCAAAAUUGAGCUGCCAUACACUCAUCUGCAAAGGGAGAUAUGAAAUAGACCCUACCUGUAUGUGUGUGCUAGCUAGUAAUGAGGUAGACAGGCAAAAUGAUCAUUAUCCAGAAAACUGACUGUAGUUGGGAACAACCCGAGUCAAUAGAACCUCCACAAUGCUGGAUUAGGCCAAUUUUGAUACUUGGCUCCAAGGUUUUGGAGAAUAUCAACAAAAGUUGUUUCAAGUGCAAGGGAUAUUCGUUUUAUUUCUUUAAGGUAAAGAGAUGAGUAAGGACUUAAGCACACCAAAUUUGGCCUGAAGUGUUGCCAAUCAGAAGCUAGUUCCUUUAAUGAAAGGAGAGUUAAAUAAGGCAAUAAGGGAGGCUAAAAUAAAGUCAGAUGAAUGCAGUCUUUAGAAGUUCUUGUCUCAAAUGGCAAUGCUUGGUGCCAUAGAGGACCAUGAACUGUUCGAAAACUGUUUCAGAGGUAGCAAAAAAA